rnacentral:rRNA from 1 species
GUGUUUAACGGCCGCGGUAUUUUAACCGCGCGAAGGUAGCGUAAUCACUUGUCUUUUAAAUGGAGACCUGUAUGAAUGGCAUAACGAGGGUUUGACUGUCUCCUCCACCCAGUCAAUGAAAUUGAUCUGCCCGUGCAGAAGCGGGCAUAAGCACAUAAGACGAGAAGACCCUAUGGAGCUUUAGGCAAAUGACCAGGCAAAACAAGUCACGGCCCUUAAUAAGCCUAGAAAAACAAAAGCUAAUGAUCAAAAUGCCUUCGGUUGGGGCGACCAUGGAGGAAACAAAAUCCUCCAAGCGGAAAGGGACAACCCUUGAACCAAGAGAGACACCUCGAAGUAACAGAAUUUAUGACCAACUAUGACCCAGGAUUUAACCUGAUCAACGGACCUAGUUACCCUAGGGAUAACAGCGCAAUCCUCUCCCAGAGUCCCUAUCGACGAGGGGGUUUACGACCUCGAUGUUGGAUCAGGACAUCCUAAUGGUGCAGCCGCUAUUAAGGGUUCGUUUGUUCAACGAUUAAUAG